rnacentral:rRNA from 1 species
AUUCGCUUUAGCGCCAUCCAUUUUCAGGGCUAGUUCAUUCGGUAGGUGAGUUGUUACACACUCCUAAGCGAAUUUCGACUUCCAUGACCAUCGUCCUACUGUCAUUAUGAACCAACACCUUUUAUGGGAUCUCAUGAGCGAAUAUUUAGGCACCUUAUCCAGGCGUUAGGAGCAUCCCUCAUCGCCAGUUCUGCUUACCAAAAAUGGCCCACUUGGAGUUAUCUUAUUUACGCCAAAGUGAAAUACUUUUCAGAUAUCGCACCCUCUUUACAUAUUGGAAGUUUGAGAAUAGGUUAAGAAAUAUUUAAUCCCCUAAACCCUCUAAUCAUUGUCUCUACCUUAUAAAAUUAUAAUCAACUCAACUCCAGCGAUCCUGAGAGAUCUUUCGAAAAUAACCAGCUAAUAGGCUUUUCGAUUAGUCUUUCGCCCCUAAACGUGAUUGUAAUGAACGAUUUGCACGUCAGUAUCAACUCGAUCCUCCAUCAGACUUUCGUCUGACUUCAAUCUCAUCACGCUUAGUUCAAAGCCUCUCGGGUCCUAACAAAUGUACUCAUACUCAAAUAAACUUAAUUAUCUUAUUGCUUAUCGGUAUUGUUUGCAAGCCAGAAACCAAAUGCACUAUUGUCCGGCGCAUCCACAAAAAAUUCACAUUAAUUACGCGUAACUAAAAAUUUAUAUAUGUUUUUAUUCAUAUCACAUACGCUCGCACAUUUGUUAGACUCCUUGGUCCGUGUUUCAAGACGAGUGGGUUAAAAAAGUACUAUUUAAAAACAACUUACAAUCAGAAAAAAGAAAUAUCCCAUUCUUAGUUCACACUAUUGUUUACCUCUUUCCUCAGUAAACAGAAUAAUUAUACGCAUUUCGGUUAAAACAUAAUUAUAUAUAUAUCAUAUAAUAUACAAUAUAAUCAUGCCUUUUAAAACUCAUAUAAAUUAAGUUCUUCCUUCAUAAAUUAUUAUUAGCUAAGGAUACUUUAAUUAAAUAGAUAUAAAAUUACAGAAAAAAAAAAAAAGAAGCAGUGAAUACUCAAACAUACAAGCAUAACCCUUUUACACUGCACCCUUUUUCUUACUACUCCUCCCCCCUUAGUCCUGUGUAUCUAUUCUAUACCUAUCUAAUAUAAUUAUAUUAUAAUUUAUUCUCGUUCACUCAUGUUUCUUUUUAUAAAAAAAUCGUAUCUUAAUAAAACUCGCCGAGUAAUAUUUACUAUCUUCUUACAUUUUCCUUUCUUAAUCCGUUCCACCUUAACGAUUUCAGGUACUAUUUAACUGCUCAUUCCUGAGUACUAUUUCAUCUUUCCCUCACGGUACUUGUUUCCUAUCGGUCUCCUAUAUAUAUUUAGCCUUAUGUGAAAUGUAUCACACAUCUUUGUACUCCAAUCUCAAAGAGCACUACUCUUUAAAAAAAAAAUUAUCCAAAAAAAAAGAACUUUAUAUAUUUAUUAACUACGGGCCUUUCACCCUCUAUGGGAAAGUAUUCCUACUUAUUUCGAUAACUAAAUAUAUAUAUAAAUCCCAUAUAUUCUCAGAUUACUUCUUCCUUAUAACAGAACAAUUUCUAUACACAUAGUCUUUUUACAACUACGAUAUAGAAUUAUCUCCUUGAGCUUUUUCUUGUUCACUCGCCGUUACUAAAGAAAUCAUUGUUAUUUUCUUUUCUUCCGCUUAAUUAUAUGCUUAAAUUCGGCGGAUUUGCCUUCCUAACAUCAAAUCA